rnacentral:lncRNA from 1 species
AAAAAUAGCCAAGGGAGAUGCUAGGGACUAAAGUUUGAAGGAAGCACUCUCCUGAGUUUGAGGGUAAGAGGUUGAGCUAAACAACCUUAAACAAAGCACUAUGUGGGAGGCAACCCACGAUUUUUACACUAAUUUGUUGUUUUUUUGUUUGAUUUUUUUCUUUUAGUUAAUAAAAGGCACAUGAAGGGAACAAGGGAUAAAAG